rnacentral:rRNA from 1 species
GUUGACCUCGAAUCAGGUAGGAAUACCCGCUGAACUUAAGCAUAUCAAUAAGCGGAGGAAAAGAAACCAACAGGGAUUGCCCUAGUAACGGCGAGCGAAGCGGCAACAGCUCAAAUUUGAAAUCUGGUCUUCUGGGCCCGAGUUGUAAUUUGCAGAGGAUGCUUCUGGCAAGGUGCCUUCCGAGUUCCCUGGAACGGGACGCCAUAGAGGGUGAGAGCCCCGUACGGUUGGACACCGAGCCGUUGUGUAGCUCCUUCAACGAGUCGAGUAGUUUGGGAAUGCUGCUCUAAAUGGGAGGUAUAUCUCUUCUAAAGCUAAAUACCGGCCAGAGACCGAUAGCGCACAAGUAGAGUGAUCGAAAGAUGAAAAGCACUUUGAAAAGAGAGUUAAACAGCACGUGAAAUUGUUGAAAGGGAAGCGCUUGUGACCAGACUUGUGCCCGGUGAAUUAGCUGGUGUUCUCACCAGUCGACUUUGCCGGCUCAGGCCAGCAUCGGUUUGUUAUUGGGGAGAAAAACGAUGGGAAUGUGGCUCCUUCGGGAGUGUUAUAGCCCGCCGUAUAAUACCCUUUGGCAGACCGAGGACCGCGCAUCUGCAUGGAUGCUGGCGUAAUGGUCACCAGCGACCCGUCUUGAAACACGGACCAAGGAGUCAACCUUAUGUGCAAGUGUUUGGGUGUUAAACCCCUACGCGGAAUUAACGUGAACGUAGGUGAGAGCCUUCGGGCGCAUCAUCGACCGAUUCUGAUGUUCUCGGAUGGAUUUGAGUAAGAGCACACAGGGUUGGACCCGAAAGAAGGUGAACUAUGCUUGUAUAGGGUGAAGCCAGAGGAAACUCUGGUGGAGGCUCGCAGCGGUUCUGACGUGCAAAUCGAUCGUCAAAUAUGAGCAUGGGGGCGAAAGACUAAUCGAACCUUCUAGUAGCUGGUUC